CUCCUUCUCCUUUCUACAGGCUAUAGCCGCUCAACGGAAGUCUCUAGAAGUCGAGUAAUAUCCAAUUUUCCCUCCAUUGCUUUCUCUUCUCUCAUUGUUGGAUAAUCUAAAUCCUCACCAUUCACUAUCCCUUCUCUCGGCCCAAGCUUCAACAAUGGCCAGCGAGUUGGCUGAGAAGGCAAAAGAAGCAAUCAUCGAUGAUGAUCUUAAAUUGGCCUUAGAUUUAUAUUCCAGAGCCAUCGAAUUGGACUCCACCAACGCCGAUUACUUCGCCGACCGAGCUCAGGCCAAUAUCAAACUCAAUAACUUCACUGAGGCUGUUGCUGAUGCAAACAAAGCAAUUGAGUUGGCUUCUUCGAUUCCCAAGGCAUAUUUGCGUAAAGGUGUUGCCUGUAUGAAGCUUGAAGAAUAUCAUACUGCCAAGAGAGCCCUUGAAAUUGGUGCAUCUUUGGCUCAAGAUGAUUCCAGAUUUACCAAUUUGAUCAAAGAAUGUGAUCUUCGAAUUGCAGAGGACUGUUAUGAUCAAAGGAAGUCCUUGGCACCAAAUGUUCAGCCAAGUGCUACACCUGCAUCUGUUGGUUCCUGUCAGAAGGAAACAAUCUCCUCCGGAAAACCAAAAUACAGACAUGAAUACUACCAGAAGCCAGAGGAAGUGAUUUUAACAAUUUUUGCAAAGGGCAUACCAGCAGAGAAUGUUACAGUUGAUUUUGGUGAACAAAUUCUUAGUGUUAAUGUCUCUGGUGAAGACACAUAUCAUUUUCAACCUCGAUUGUUUGGAAAAGUAUUACCUGAUAGGAGCAAGUAUCAAGUAUUGUCAACCAAGAUUGAAAUCCGUUUUGUGAAAGCUGAAGUUAUUAACUGGACUUCUCUUGAAUAUUGCAAGGAAAUUACAGUACCGCAGAAAAUAAAUGUGCCAUCAGUUGGAUCUCAAAGGCCUUCAUAUCCAUCAUCAAAAUCAAGAGCAAAGGAUUGGGAUAAGUUGGAAGCUGAAGUGAAGAAGGAGGUGUUGAUGCUAUGAUGGUCUGGAUUUCAGGAAAAAAGAUGAGAAGCUAGAUGGUGAUGCAGCUUUGAACAAGUUUUUCAGGGAGAUUUACCAGAGUGCAGACGAGGACACGAGGAGGGCAAUGACCAAAUCUUUUGUGGAGUCAAGUGGGACAGUGCUGUCAACCGACUGGAAAGAAGUGGGUUCAAAGAAGGUAGAAGGUAGUGCUCCAGAGGAUAUGGAAAUGAAAAAAUGGGAGUAUUGACCAAGUAUACCAGUCCGAUAAUGGAAUGACUGCAAUGUCCGAGUUUUUUUAGCUCUUCUAGAGUUGCUCUUCCUUUUCUCCAACAGUGUGUUUAUCUUCUAUCCUGCUGUAAAUCCAUUAUGUAGUUGCGAUUUUUGCGUUUUACUGUCAGGGUAGGAAAUGAACAAACGGGAAUAUUCACCAAAUACCAAGUACACCAGUCUGAUUUCUCUUCUA